AGGCAGAUCAAAGGAGUCCUGCAGGGUCUGGACGAUAAGGGAAGAGCUAGGUGGUGGCCUCUGCGUGGCUGUCAGAGACAGAAGGGCUUGGAGCUGGAGGGACUGAGCCCCAGGCCUGUGGGGGACACCCACCCCUCUGCAUUCUGACAUUCCCUCCCUUGAGGCCCACCUGGGGAGCCAGAAGUGCCAGAACUGUAUGUAACUCGACCUCUGGGAGCUGCAGAGUGAGCCCACAGCUGUCCUCAGGCCUUGGACGGAGACCUCUGCUGUCCCCAGGCUCACGGAUCACGACAUGUGCCUUCGAAGGGGGUGCUUCCGCUGGCCUGCAGGCCGGGGGACAGGGCCACCACUCUGCUCCACCCGGGCCUCCUGCCUUUGCUUCCCCAGUCCCUAGUGUCGGUGGUGGAGAAAAUCCUCCCGCCAUCACCCUUCAUCGCGCCGGCUACACAGCGACACCUGGCUUGUUGUUGGGCCUCAGAAGUUUGAGACCCACGGUUCCAGAGGACUGAGCUCACACGGCCGCUCGUGACUUUUGAGCGAGCCCCCUGCUGCCCCUAAACUGAAGACUUGGUAAAGAGGCACGCAUUUAAGCAACUGUCCCCGGCUCUCCCCACGACACGACGCACACCCAGGAUAAACCCAGUCCAACGCUGCCCUCUCCCCACGCCCACCUGCCCUGCGAGUACAGGCCCAAAGGGGUGGAACUCAAUCACGGGUGCACACAGAGCCAGGCCCGGCUUCCCCUAGCAGAGGCAGGCACCCAGCUCUGCCUGCUGCCUGAUCCAGAAAAAGUCCAAGUGUUCGGAGGACGGUGUUGCUUCCUACCACACCGUCCGGUCCACUCAGCCCUGGAAUCCAGCCCCUCCCUUCCUCCCCAAAAACACUACCUGGGCUCCUUCUGUCAGGUGUGUCCUUGUUACAAAAUGAUCCUUGUAAGAAAAAAUGGAUGAAGACAUAGAAUAGAAAUCACACCUACUCCUGUUAUCCAGAGAUCGUCUCUGCUAAUAUUUUGAUUUUUUUUCUUGGAAAUCACACCUCUGUAUUUUAUUUUUUAACAAUCCAU